UACGUAGGGUGCGAGCGUUAAUCGGAAUUACUGGGCGUAAAGCGUGCGCAGGCGGUUUUGCAAGCCGGAUGUGAAAUCCCCGGGCUCAACCUGGGAAUGGCAUUCGGGACUGCAAGGCUGGAGUGCGGCAGAAGGAGACUGGAAUUCCUGGUGUAGCAGUGAAAUGCGUAGAUAUCAGGAGGAAUACCGAUGGCGAAGGCAGGUCUCUGGGCUGACACUACGCUCAUGCACGAAAGCGUGGGGAGCAAACAGG
rnacentral:rRNA from 1 species